rnacentral:lncRNA from 1 species
CCUGCUGCAGCUCCUGCAGGAAAGCAGCCCUGGGGCCAGCACCGCUGCCCCCGCCCCAGCAGGAGGGCACCCGCCGGCAGCUGAAGGCACCCGCAGCCCCGCCAGCCCUGCUCACACCCGCUCUCAUCCGUUUUCUCCCUCCGGCUUUGCACUAGCUCCACUUCCACCUUUUUUUGUUUCCCCCAUGCUGGACUCCGAUUGGCUGAGAGAGCCGUCAUUCAAAUCCACCCCCAUGUUUCUCUUGCCAGCCAAUAGGAAUGCAGCACUGCAAGCGUUGCCAUGGAAACAUUGCAGCCUCCUGCCCUGGCAGCUGGCUCUGCCCCCUGCCCCUGCGGUCGGUCGCCACCUUGUGGGCGACAUCGUGGGGCAUCGCGAGGCAUCGUGGGGCCUCGGGACAGAGUGGCCCCGUGUGCCCGGGCACUGCGGGACCCCGGGGCACGGCUGCUCCCCCGCUGGGGUUGGGCUCUGCCGCUGGGGCCCCGCAGGGCUCCUGGCUGCCCUGCGCCCGGGGGCCGUGGGGGGCGCGAGGGAGCAGCGCUGUGGCCUGUGCUGGUGCCAGACCUGGCGCUGGCGCGGGGGCCCUGGGCAUGGCCAUGGGUGCUGGAGCCCACGGGCAGCAUCCUGCUCCCCCCAGGGCAGGGCAGGGCAGGGCAGGGCAGGGCAGGGCAGGGCCCUGUCACCCCUGGGGCCCCGGCCCCCUGCCCACGGCAGCCCUGGGGCUGGGCAGCCCUCACGCUGCGUCCGGCAGGGCUGGGCCGCAGCCAGGCAGGGGCUGCUCUCUGCAGGGCCGGGCUGGGCUCUGGCGUGUCGCUCCGGAGGGCUGAGGAGCCCCAGGGGCAUGGGGCAGCCAGGGGCAGAGCAGCUCUGGACCUGCUGGUGCUGGGCAGCAGCGGUGUGUGUCUGGGAGGGGCCUGGGGGAGAUGUCCGUGCUGGGCUGCCCCCAGCACUGCCCCCCAUGGAUCAGAGGAAAAUGCUUGGGGUCAGCAGGGACUUGUGGGGUGGCGAUGGCACCCCCACCUGUUCCCAAGCUGCUCUCCCAAACAGGCUGUCCUUUGGUUGCAGAGAUUUGACCCCGAUUUGCUUGAGGACAGGGUCUGUG